UACGUAGGGGGCAAGCGUUGUCCGGAAUCAUUGGGCGUAAAGCGCGUGUAGGCGGUUCGGUAAGUCUGCUGUGAAAGUCCAGGGCUCAACCCUGGGAUGCCGGUGGAUACUGUCGGACUAGAGUACGGAAGAGGCGAGUGGAAUUCCCGGUGUAGCGGUGAAAUGCGCAGAUAUCGGGAGGAACACCCGUGGCGAAAGCGGCUCUCUGGGACGGUACUGACGCUGAGACGCGAAAGCGUGGGGAGCAAACAGG
rnacentral:rRNA from 1 species